rnacentral:lncRNA from 1 species
GUGGAACAAGCUCCCUCACGACGCCAGGACAGCGGAGUCAAUCACCACCUUCCGGAGACACCUGAAACCCCACCUCUUCAAGGAAUACCUGGGAUAGGAUAAAAGUCGUGGCUGAACGACGAUACUAUCAACAUACAAAUGGUUAUACGCUGCACCGACAGGAAAGAACAGCGGCGUCUGGUAAGACAAGGAGCGGUGGACUAUGUAUUUUUGUAAAUAACAUCUGGUGCACGAUAUCUAAGGAAGUCUCGAGCUAUUGCUCGCCUGAGGUAGAGUAUUUCAUGAUAAGCUGUAGACCACACUAUUUACCUAGAGAGAUUUCAUCUGUAUUUUUUGUAGCUGUUUACAUACCACCACAGUCAGAGGCUGGCAAUAAGACAACAUUGAAUGAGCUGUAUUCCGCCAUAAGCAAACAAGAAAACGCUCACCCAGAGGCGGCGCUCCUAGUAGCCAGGGACUUUAAUGCAGGGAAACUAAAAUCCGUUUUACCAAAUUUAUAUCAGCAUGUUAAAUGUGCAACCAGAAGGAAAACAACUCUGGACUACCUUUACUCCACACACAGAGACGCAUACAAAGCUCUCCCUCGCCCUCCAUUUGGCAAAUCUGACCAUAAUUCUAUCCUCCUGAUUCCUGCUUACAAGCAAAAAUUAAAGCAGGACGCACCAGUGACUAGAUCAAUAAAAAAGUGGUCAGAUGAAGCAGAUGCUAAGCUACAGGACUGUUUUGCUAGCACAGACUGUAAUAUGUUCUGGGACUCCUCCGAUGACAUUGAGGAGUACACCACAUCAGUCAUUGGCUUCAUCAAUAAGUGCAUCGAUGAUGUCGUCCCCACAGUGACCAUACGUACAUACCCCAACCAGAAGCCAUGGAUUACAGGCAACAUCUGCACAGAGCUAAAGGCCAGAGCUGCCGCUUUCAAGGAGCGGGACUCUAACCCGGAAGGUUAUAAGAAAUCCCGCUAUGCCCUCGGACGAACCAUCAAACAGGCAAAGCAUCAAUACAGGACUAAGAUCAAAUCGUCCUACACCGGCUCUGACGCUCGUCGGAUGUGGCAGGGUUUGCAAACCAUUACAGACUACAAAGGGAAGCACAGCCGAGAGCUGCCCAGUGACACGAGCCUACCAGACGAGCAAAAUUACUUCUAUGCUUGCUUCGAGGCAAAUAACACUGAAACAUGCAUGAGAGCACCAGCUGUUCUGGAAGACUGUGUGAUCACGCUCUCCGCAGCCGAUGUGAGUACGACCUUUAAACAGGUCAACAUUCACAAGGCCGCAGGGCCAGAUGGAUUACCAGGAUGUGUACUGCGAGCAUGCGCUGACCAACUGGCAAAUGUCUUCACUGGCAUUUUCAAGCUCUCCCUGUCCGAGUCUGUAAUACCAACAUGUUUUAAGCAGACCACCAUAGUGCCUGUGCCCAAGAACACUAAGGUAACCUGCCUAAAUAACUACUGACCCGUAGCACUCACGUUUGUAUCCAUGAAGUGCUUUGAAAGGCUGGUCAUAGCUCACAUCAACACCAUUAACCCAGAAACCCUAGACCCACGCAAUUUGCAUAUCGCCCUAACAGAUCCACAGAUGAUGCAAUCUCUAUUGCACUCCACACUGCCCUUUCCCACAUGGACAAAAGGAACACCUAUGUGAGAAUGCUAUUCAUUGACUCCAUCUUAGCGUUCAACAACAUAGUGCCCUCAAAGCUCACCAAUAAGCUAAGGACCCUGGGUCUAAACACCUCCCUCUGCAACUGGAUCCUGGACUUCCUGAUGGGCCGCUCCCAGGUUGUAAGGGUAGGCAACAACACAUCGCUGAUCCUCAACACAGGGGCCCCUCAGGGGUGCGUGCUCAGUCCCCUCCUGUACUCCCUGUUCACUCAUGACUGCACAGCCAGGCACGACUCCAACACCAUCAUUAAGUUUGCCGAUGACAAAACAACGGUAGGCCUGAUCAUCGACAACGACGAGACAGCCUAUAGGGAGGAGGUCAGAGACCUGGCCAUCUGGUGCCAGGACAACAACAUCUCCCUCAACGUGAUCAAGACAAAGGAGAUGAUUGUAGACUACAGGAAAAAGAGGACUGAGCACGCCCCCAUUCUCAUCGACAGGACUGUAGUUGAGCAGGUUGAGAGCUUCAAGUUCCUUGGUGUCCACAUCACCAACAAACUAACAUGGUCCAAGCACACGACAAAACCUAUUCCCCUUCAGGAGACUGAAAAGAUUUGGUAUGGGUCCUCAGAUCCUCAAAAAAUUCUACAGCUGCACCAUCGAGAGCAUCCUGACCGGUUACAUCACUGCCUGAUAUGUCAACUGCUCGGCCUACAUAGGGCAGUGCGAACGGCCAAGCUUCCUGCCAUCCAGGACCUCUAUGGUGUCAGAGGAAGGCCCUAAAAAUUGUCAAAGACUCCAGCCACCCUAGCCACCCUAGUCAUAGACUGUUCUCUCUGCUACCGCACGGCAAGCGGUACCGGAGCGCCAAAUCUAGGACCAUGAGGCUUCUAAAUAGCUUCUACCCCCAAGCCAUAAGACUCCUGAACACCUAAUCAAAUGGCUACCCAGACUAUUUGCAUUAACCCCCCCCCCUUUACACUGCUGCUACUCUGUUGUUAUCAUCUAUGCAUAGUCACUUUAAUAACUCUACCUACAUGUACACAUUACCACAACUAACCGGUGCCCCUGCACAUUGACUGUACCAGUACCCCCCCUUUAUAUAGUCUAGCUAUUGUUGUUUUACUGCUGCUCUUUAAUUACUUGUUACUUUUAUUUCUUAUCUGUAAUUCUUUUAAACUGCAUUGUUGGUUAGGGACUCGUAAGUAAGCAUUUCACUGUAAGGUGAAACUUGUUGUAUUCAGCGCAUGUGACUAAUAAAAUUAGUUUUGAUAAGCUUCUG